UACGGAGGGUGCAACCGUUGCUCGGAAUCAUUGGGCGUAAAGCGCACGUAGGCGGCUCGUUAAGUCGGAUGUGAAAGCCCUCGGCUCAACCGAGGAAGUGCAUACGAAACUGGCGAGCUUGAAUAUGGAAGAGGGUCGCGGAAUUCCCGGUGUAGAGGUGAAAUGCGUAGAUAUCUGGAGGAACACCGGUGGCGAAGGCGGCAUCCUGGACCAAUAUUGACGCUGAGGAGCGAAAGCCAGGGGAGCAAACGGG
rnacentral:rRNA from 1 species